AUUGAACGCUGGCGGCAUGCUUUACACAUGCAAGUCGAACGGCAGCACGGGGGCAACCCUGGUGGCGAGUGGCCAACGGGUGAGUAAUGCAUCGGAACGCGCCCUGGCGGGGGGGACAACACAACGAAAGAAGUGCGAAUACCGCAUCCGACCUGAGGGUGAAAGCGGGGGCCCGUAACGCCUUGCGCGAUAGGAGCGGCCGAUGUCUGGUUAGCUAGUUGGUGGGGUAAAGGCCGACCAAGGCGACGAUCAGUAGCUGGUCUUAUAGGACGACCGGCCACACUGGGACUGAGACACGGCCCAGACUCCUACGGGAGGCAGCAGUGGGGAAUAUUGGACAAUGGGCGAAAGCCUGAUCCAGCCAUGCCGCGUGCGUGAAGAAGGUCUUCGGAUUGUAAAGCACUUUAAGUCGGGAGGAAGGGCUGUAGGUUAAUACCCUGCAGUUUUGACGUUACCGACAGAAUAAGCACCGGCUAACUUCGUGCCAGCAGCCGCCGUAAAAC
rnacentral:rRNA from 1 species